UGGGCGAUGGCGCAGGAUUUUGCGGACGUAGCUUUUUCAGGGCUUCCUGGCUCAGGAGCGUUUCCAGACUGGCCACC
rnacentral:tRNA from 1 species